CGCUUCUGCUUGCUGGUUCCAAAGGCCUCAAUGCACAAAUCCAUCUGCACAAGAGAGAAGCACACAUUCAAACACCCUGUGCACCCAACAGAACACAAAACCCACUGCUCGUUCCACAGCCACAGCCUCUAAGAAACCUUUAGCUCUUCACGUGGCAAAACCCGCAGGUGCAGGAUGUGCUGGUCUGCGAGGGGCAGGAGGUCACCGGGAUGGUGAUCCAGCCUAAAAUAACCAGGAAAAUACUCCCAAGCUAGGCAAUAACUGUGCUGACUCCUGGACACAGUGAGAAUCCUGGUCCUGCACAGGUUAACCCUCUAGGACACCAAACCUCCCAGCCUCAAGACAAGCAUCUGCCCCUGUCAGCUGGAUAAUCACAGCAGAACAUGACACAGCUUUCAACUUUACCUUCUCCCUGUAGGAUUUGUUCUGGUAAUCCCUUGUGUCGUCAGGUAUCAAGUUAUCUAUAAAACAACAACAGUUAGUGUGCUUGGACAGAAGCAGCCAGGACAGGAAUUCCUUUAGCUCUGUGACUAACAGACUUGGCACAGCACAUCAGGAUCCCCUCCACGUGACUUGGCUAAUUAAAGGACACACCAAAUAUGAGAACCUACAAGAAAAAAGCUUUUGCUACAAAGCCUAUGGGUGCAAUACACGGACUAUGGCCAAACCCAGGCCCUCCUGCACAGGGUAAAAAUCAGCUACCAAAAGAUGUGAUCUUUUGGGUUCUUAUCCAGGAUUCAGUGACAAAAAACAGUCCAGCUGGAUAAAACCUGGUUUUUUUUGUUUUUCAGGGAUCUAGUUCCUUGACCUGAUGAGUCUCAGGCCUCCCUCAGCAGAACACACCCGGACAACGAUGCGCUUGUGCCGUGACUCUCUGACUUGAUGGCCAUAGCUUGAACAAGAGCCAAAUCUCCUUGUGGCUCCCACAGCUCAGGACCUCCAGAGUGGCAAGCACCACUUUAGCCCCUGGAACCACCUCUUCACCAGUGUUCAGAGGAACAAACAACCCUUUGGCGCUCUUUUUUCAGCUGCAGCAUCUCUAACUGGACACCGCUCUGUCUGAGGAUCCAGCCCUCCCAGUUUCACUGCUCAGACAGAACGGAGGUUGGUAUUGGCAUGUUUGGACAGACUCUGCAGAAGCGAAGCCAGUUCCUUGUACAGAAUUAGAGAGCAUCUCAGCUGGAAGGGCCUCACAGCGAUCACCCGGACCAGCUGCCCAACCCCUUCAGCGCUGACCAACUGCUGAUAAAGGCAAUUUCUUCAUCCUGAUUUCUUAGUAACAAAGCUGUUACUCCGUCCUGCUGCUACACUAACCCAUAUCGUCCCCCCAGACCUCACAAGACAUUUUCAAACUGCUCUGUGAUUUACACAUCACAGCUUCCACAAGAUGUGCACAAACAGCCGGAGCUUCCUGUCCAAAUCCUCUGAGCCCCACCAUGGGCCCCGUGGAAACCUCUAAGACAAGUCCAUGGAAGGGACCAGGAGCUCUGUGUCUGACCAGCCCCUGUGCUCCUAGCUCCUUUUUCCAUACCUGC